AACGAACGCUGGCGGCAGGCCUAAUACAUGCAAGUCGAACGGGCGUAGCAAUACGUCAGUGGCGGACGGGUGAGUAACACGUGGGAACAUGCCUUUCGGUUCGGAAUAACGCAGGGAAACUUGCGCUAAUACCGGAUGACCCGGCGACGGAAAGAUUUAUCGCCGAAAGAUUGGCCCGCGUAGGAUUAGCUAGUUGGUGAGGUAACGGCCCACCAAGGCGACGAUCCUUAGCUGGUUUGAGAGAACGAUCAGCCACACUGGGACUGAGACACGGCCCAGACUCCUACGGGAGGCAGCAGUAGGGAAUCUUGGACAAUGGGGG
rnacentral:rRNA from 1 species